AGGAAGUGGUCGGGGGAAUCUGAGAAGGCACACGAGGCUUGUGUCCAGUACAGUCCACACCUUGCGCUACUCAGGUCUGCUUGUGCCCUCCC
rfam:Callithrix jacchus chromosome 1, whole genome shotgun sequence